rnacentral:ribozyme from 13 species
GGAGAGAAAGAAAAUAAAAGGAGGGUAGGAGAGAGAGAAACAGAGGAUGAGAGUGAGGGGGUUGGUUCCUCUUCUUUUCCUUCUCCUUUUCCUUCUCUGGCUCCUUCUCCUUUUCCU